rnacentral:rRNA from 1 species
GAUGAACGCUGGCGGCGUGCCUAAUACAUGCAAGUCGAGCGAACGGACGAGAAGCUUGCUUCUCUGAUGUUAGCGGCGGACGGUUGAGUAACACGUGGAUAACCUACCUAUAAGACUGGGAUAACUUCGGGAAACCGUAGCUAAUACCUGAUAAUAUUUUGAACCUCAUGGUUCAAAAGUGAAAGACGGUCUUGCUGUCACUUAUAGAUGGAUCCGCGCUGCAUUAGCUAGUUGGUAAGGUAACGGCUUACCAAGGCAACGAUGCAUAGCCGACCUGAGAGGGUGAUCGGCCACACGGGAACUGAGACACGGUCCAGACUCCUACGGGAGGCAGAAGUAGGGAAUCUUCCGCAAUGGGCGAAAGCCUGACGGAGCAACGCCGCGUGAGUGAUGAAGGUCUUCGGAUCGUAAAACUCUGUUAUUAGGGAAGAACAGAUGUGUAAGUAACUGUGCACAUCUUGACGGUACCUAAUCAGAAAGCCACGGCUAACUACGUG